rnacentral:rRNA from 1 species
GUCUUUUUGAUCAUAAUUUAAAGUCUAACCUGCCCACUGAGUAUUUAAAUGGCCGCGGUAUUUUGACCGUGCAAAGGUAGCAUAAUAAUUAGUUUUUUAAUUGAAAGCUGGAAUGAAUGGUUGGACGAGAAAAUUACUGUCUUAAUUUAAUUUUUAUUAAAAUUUUAUUUUUAAGUUAAAAAGCUUAAUUAAAUUUAAAAGACGAGAAGACCCUAUAGAGUUUUAUAUUUAUUAAUAUUAUAAUUAUUAGGUUAUUUUAUUUUAUAAUAUUAAUAAAUAUUUUGUUGGGGUGAUAGAAAAAUUGAAUAAACUUUUUUUUUUAUUUAAUCAUUGAUUUAUGUUUAUAUGAUCCAUAUAUUAUGAUUAUAAGAUAAAAUUACCUUAGGGAUAACAGCGUAAUUAUUUUUGAGAGUUCUUAUCGAAAAAAUAGUUUGCGACCUCGAUGUUGGAUUAAAA